rnacentral:misc_RNA from 1 species
UCUCCCGUGAGGGAGCAGUCUCGCCAGACACUUGUAACUGGCAAUAGGGGUUGCGUUCGUUACCCCACUUAAGGGAACAAUUCAAACCACGAACUGACGACGGCCAUGCAUCACCUGUUCUGCCGUCCUUGCGGACGCCAUUCCUUUCGGAAUGACUUCGACAAAAUUUCUAACCCUGGUGAGGUUCUUCGUUUAGCUACGAAUUGAGCCACAUGAUCCACCGCUUGUGCAAGCCCCCGUCUAUUCCUUUGAGUUUUAAUCUUGCGAUCGUACUACCCAGGCGGCCCGCUUAACGCGUUAGCUUCGCCCCAGAGAGGGUCGAUACUCCCUAGAGCUAGCGGGCAACGUUUAGGGCGUGGACUAC